CAAAUUAGAUUUAAACAAAAAUUUUAUUUACAUUAAAAUAUAAACUGUGUGAUUCGGUUUAAUUUGA
rnacentral:tRNA from 1 species